rnacentral:rRNA from 1 species
GACGUAGGAGGCGAGCGUUGUCCGGAGUCACUGGGCGUAAAGGGCGCGCAGGCGGCCGGGCGCGCCGCACCGUGAAAGCCCCCGGCUCAACCGGGCGGUGGCGGGCGGAACGGCCUGGCUGGAGGGGGGCAGAGGCGGGCGGAAUUCCCGGUGUAGUGGUGAAAUGCGUAGAGAUCGGGAGGAACACCCGCGGCGCAGGCGGCCCGCUGGGCCCCCCCUGACGCUGAGGCGCGAAGGCCCGGGGAGCGAACGGG